CCGGCCUCUUCUGCCUGAGGCCCCGGCCCUUCUAGAGGCCUGGAGCUGGGACCCCGUCCUGGGAAGCCUACGCCACAGAAAAACAACCCCAAAAGCAAGACUGGCGCAAGUGAUACAAACAUCAGUCCUGAUUCUGUCUCACAUUGGAGUAAAUCAGGAGUAACUCCAUUGAAGUUAAUGGAGUUGUACUGAUGUGAAACCAGUUGCUGUAGCUCCAAGAAUGCUGACGACAUUCAGCAAACAUCAGACAACAAUCAUCGAAAUAGGCUCAUAUGUACAUGUAGUUACCGUUUUAUGAAGUUAGCAAACAGUAUGCGAUGGGAAUAACCCUGUCUCCGAAUUCUUGCCGUCUCCAGAAUUCCCGUAUAGCGUAGCUGUACCAGUACCUUCUCUUUGUCAUACUUGUGUGCCUGCCGAUCAUUGUUUGGCUUGAUGCAACGGACAAAAUGAGGCUGGCCAACCACCAUCUUGGAUAAUAAAUCCAUCAGAGAAUACUUCAAGAAAACGGAGAAACAUUUUCUGUUGUGAUACAUAAAAGCCUCCUAUUGUACAAGAGCA